CCAGACUCCUACGGGAGGCAGCAGUGGGGAAUAUUGCACAAUGGGGGGAACCCUGAUGCAGCGACGCCGCGUGGGUGAAGGAGUACUUCGGUACGUAAAGCCCUAUCAGCAGGAAGGAAAAUGACGGUACCUGACUAAGAAGCCCCGGCUGACUACGUGCCAGCAGCCGCGGUAAUACGUAGGGGGCAAGCGUUAUCCGGAUUUACUGGGUGUAAAGGGAGCGUAGACGGCAUGGCAAGCCAGAUGUGAAAUACCGGGGCUCAACCCCGGGACUGCAUUUGGAACUGUUAAGCUGGAGUGUCGGAGAGGCAGGCGGAAUUCCUAGUGUAGCGGUGAAAUGCGUAGAUAUUAGGAGGAACACCAGUGGCGAAGGCGGCCUGCUGGACUGCAACUGACGUUGAGGCUCGAAGGCGUGGGGAGCAAACAGGAUUAGAUACCCGUGUA
rnacentral:rRNA from 1 species